UUGUUUGCUUAUGAAUUAUUUUUUUUAAAGUUUUAAUUUUUCGAUGCUCACCAUACUUUUUUUUUAGGUAUUUUAUAUUAUUUUUACUUGUUAGGUAAUUUCAUUACAACUUUCAAUAGUAUAUCGAGUGUAUGACUCAUGAAAAUGAAUAUUGCUGUUUUGUUCUACAUAACAUCUUCAAUUAUUAGAAUACUCAAUUUUUUAGAAACCAAUGGAUCUGAACAAAUAAUAGUUAUAUUCUCAAUACACCAUCACUCUGUUUUACGGAUAUUUGAAGACUCAUAAUGUAUAAAUGAAGAUUCAUGCUUUAUUGUAUUGAUAACUGAGGGUGAAUCAAUAUUAUUUGGAUAUAAAAAAAUGUAGCAGCUAGUCCAUAUAUCCGAGCUGCGUCUAACAGUUUUGAGAACAGCAACAAUUCAAAUCUUGUUAAUAUGAGUUAGAUUCCACCAUUUUACUAAUACUUUAAGUUUAUAUAUUUUUACUGGCAAAUUUAUGGUCACCAACGAAAAUGUACAGUUGGACUAUAAAAGUGGUAUAUGUGGAGAGAAUUUACUAACACAAACGGAUACAUCAAAUUAUCUUUGUAUAAAAUCAUUUGCCAACUUACAUAAUUGUAUGGAGUUCUCCCAAGUUUUGAAGCAUUCGUCAAUAAACAGUUUUUAGAAACGGUUAAAGAUGAUGUGUUCUUAUCAUUAUCUUGUGAAAAAUGUGUUGAGAUUACUUUCUAUGGUGACUUUGCUGUUCCAUUUGAGGAAAAAGCCUUUGAAUGUGUUAUUAAAUGGGUAAAACAUGUUUUGGACUAGAGAAAAUGUAUUGCCAGUAUUAAUGAAACAAGUGCGUUUGCCAAUAUUAGCAUCAACAUCCAAUAAGUCAAUUCAGCACUUCCCCAUUCCAAAUAUAAUUCGGUGUAGAGGUUUUUGAUGUCAGUGUUCAAAAAUGGGUAGCUAGUAUGACUACAGAAGUGAUUUGUGUGUGUUAUGUAUACUAUCAGUGAUAAUAGCUAACAGUAUUGAGGCCUGUAAACUAAUGAUGGAGUAUGAUCUUUUAUUGCUAAUAUAUAUUCCUCGAUAAAUACCUGGAGUCGACAGUCAGAUGAAUUGUAUGUGAUUGAUGGAGAAAUAACAAAAUCUGAAUAAAAAUGGGUAACUAGUCAUACUACAGAAGUCAUUUGCAUGUGGGUAUACUCAAUAAUCGAUCGUUCAUAUGAGAUAGGAGUUUUUUUCAAAAUAUCUGAAGUCUGUCGAACGUUAUGAUUCCACACAUGAACUACUUAAUUGAA